AAGUCACUGACCCAUUUCCACUGCUGCUCUCUCAUCUGCUGCUCUGAAGCCUAAACCAUGGUGCCCAGAAUCUUCGAUGCAACUCAUGAGAAGCUGGAGGACCUGGAGAAGCUGGCAACUCAAAAAGGCCAAAGGGUGCAGACAAUAAAAGCCCCAGACAAGCGUAUAGAACCACACGCCGUCUUUUUACUUGCGGCCCAGGGCGGCUCAUGGAGGAGACAGGGACUCUCCCCAGGUCGAAGGCCCAAGGCCUGGAUGAUGGGGUGGGGCCCAGGAUGGGUGCCAGGGGUCUGGAGGACAUGAGUGGAUGAAGGCCCCGGGCUUCAGCUUCCUCUUGGUGGAAUGUGGGUGAUGAGGUCCGACCAUGCAGCGCUGCUGUGAGGACCGGAUGAGAGGAUCCCUGGGAGGUGGCCGG
rnacentral:lncRNA from 1 species